rnacentral:rRNA from 1 species
AUUGAACGCUGGCGGCAGGCCUAACACAUGCAAGUCGAACGAGCGGCGGACGGGUGAGUAAUGUAUGGGGACUGCCCGAUAGAGGGGGAUAACUACUGGAAAAGGUAGCUAAUACCGCAUACUAUCGGAUAACCCAUAUGGGAUUAGCUAGUAGGUGAGGUAAUGGCGCACCUGGGCGACGAUCCCUAGCUGGACUGAGAGGCUGAUCAGCCACACGGGGACGCAGACACGGCCCAGCCUCCUACGGAGGCAGCAGUGGGGAAUAUUGGACUAUGGGAGCAAGCCUGAUGCAGCCAUGCCGCGUGUAUGAAGAAGGCCUGAGGGUUGUAAAGUACUUUCAGUCGUGAGGCGUUACCGACAGAAGAAGCACCGGCUAACUACGUGCCAGCAGCCGCGGUAAUUC